UAUUGGACAAUGGGCGAAAGCCUGAUCCAGCAAUGCCGCGUGAGUGAUGAAGGCCCUAGGGUUGUAAAGCUUUUUUACCCGGGAAGAUAAUGACUGUACCGGGAGAAUAAGCCCCGGCUAACUCCGUGCCAGCAGCCGCGGUAAUACGGAGGGGGCUAGCGUUGUUCGGAAUUACUGGGCGUAAAGCGCACGUAGGCGGCUUUGUAAGUCAGAGGUGAAAGCCUGGAGCUCAACUCCAGAACUGCCUUUGAGACUGCAUCGCUUAAUCCGGGAGAGGUCAGUGAAUUCCGAGUGAGAGGUAAAUUCGAGUUUCGAAGACACCAGUGGCGAGGCGGCUGCUGGCUGGUUAGCGUGCGGCAAAUCG
rnacentral:rRNA from 1 species